AUGCAGCACUAGCUAUCCAAACUAUGGAUGCGGACACAUCUCUUAGUAAUUACAUCCGAGAUCUGUAAAUACUGGACCAAUUGGAAAGGAGUGUGCUGAUUUGUGGCCUAGUAUUGCUAGUGCAGACAAUGCCAUUGUAUAAUAUUCAGAUUUUUCUUCAGGUGUCAGUGAGGAGUAGUAGUUUUAUUUUAUUUGUUAUUGAGAAGAAAAGGGAGUUUUUUGGAAAUAUGGAUCCAUAUUUGUAUUGGAUGUUUUUGUUUUCCCGUGACGUACAUGUAUUGGAAUUGAUAUUCUAGGAUCCAGCUGAUGGUAGCAUUGUUUUC